rnacentral:rRNA from 1 species
UACGUAGGGUGCGAGCGUUAAUCGGAAUUACUGGGCGUAAAGCGUGCGCAGGCGGUUCGUUGUGUCGGCGGUGAAAGCCCCGGGCUCAACCUGGGAAUGGCCGUUGAAACUGGCGAACUGGAGUGUGGCAGAGGGGGGUGGAAUUCCGCGUGUAGCAGUGAAAUGCGUAGAGAUGGAGAGGAACACCGAUGGCGAAGGCAGCCCCCUGGGCUAAAACUGACGCUCAGGCACGAAAGCGUGGGGAGCAAACAGG